CUGCUGAACAAAAAGUAUUUGUCAGCAGUAAGGAACAUUUUUUGAAAAAAAAAUUUCUUAGUGAAGGAAUAAGUGCCUCUACAAUCGAGCUUGACGAAGUUCGACAGGUAGAAGAACUGACACCAAUGAUUGAAUCUGAAUUGGAUUUAAUGAGAUCAAAUUCGAAGCCCAAUACACAAAUAUCCUUAAGGCGAUCCGGUAGAGUACAGCGUU
rnacentral:lncRNA from 1 species